rnacentral:rRNA from 1 species
GAUGAACGCUAGCGGGAGGCUUAACACAUGCAAGUCGAGGGGCAGCACGGGUAGCAAUACCUGGUGGCGACCGGCAGACGGGUGAGUAACGCGUAUGUAACCUACCCUGUACAGGGGGAUAACCCGGAGAAAUUCGGAUUAAUACCCCAUAACGAUAUGAAGAGGCAUCUUUUUAUAUUUAAAGUUUCGACGGUACGGGAUGGGCAUGCGUAACAUUAGCUAGUUGGUAGGGUAACGGCCUACCAAGGCAACGAUGUUUAGGGGUCCUGAGAGGGUGAUCCCCCACACUGGUACUGAGACACGGACCAGACUCCUACGGGGAGGCAG